AUUGAACGCUGGCGGCAGGCUUAACACAUGCAAGUCGAGCGGAGAUGAGGUGCUUGCACCUUAUCUUAGCGGCGGACGGGUGAGUAAUGCUUAGGAAUCUGCCAUUUAGUGGGGGACAACAUUCCGAAAGGAAUGCUAAUACCGCAUACGUCCUACGGGAGAAAGCAGGGGAUCUUCGGACCUUGCGCUAAAUGAUGAGCCUAAGUCGGAUUAGCUAGUUGGUGGGGUAAAGGCCUACCAAGGCGACGAUCUGUAGCGGGUCUGAGAGGAUGAUCCGCCACACUGGGACUGAGACACGGCCCAGACUCCUACGGGAGGCAGCAGUGGGGAAUAUUGGACAAUAGGGGGAACCCUGAUCCAGCCAUGCCGCGUGUGUGAAGAAGGCCUUAUGGUUGUAAAGAACUUUAAGCGAGGAGGAGGCUACUGAGACUAAUACUCUUGGAUAGUGGACGUUACUCGCAGAAUAAGCACCGGCUAACUCUGUG
rnacentral:rRNA from 1 species